UGGGGAUGUAGCUCAGUCGGUAGAGCAGCGGCCUUUUAAGCCGUGGGUCGCGGGUUCGAAUCCCGCCGUCCCCACCAA
rnacentral:tRNA from 1 species